rnacentral:rRNA from 1 species
AGUGAACGCUGGCGGUAGGCCUAACACAUGCAAGUCGAACGGCAGCACAGGAGAGCUUGCUCUCUGGGUGGCGAGUGGCGGACGGGUGAGGAAUACAUCGGAAUCUACUCUGUCGUGGGGGAUAACGCAGGGAAACUUACGCUAAUACCGCAUACGACCUACGGGUGAAAGCAGGGGAUCUUCGGACCUUGCGCGAUUGAAUGAGCCGAUGUCGGAUUAGCUAGGUGGCGGGGUAAAGGCCCACCAAGGCGACGAUCCGUAGCUGGUCUGAGAGGAUGAUCAGCCACACUGGGACUGAGACACGGUCCAGACUCCUACGGGAGGCAGCAGUGGGGAAUAUUGGACAAUGGGCGCAAGCCUGAUCCAGCCAUACCGCGUGGGUGAAGAAGGCCUUCGGGUUGUAAGGCCCUUUUGUUGGGAAAGAAAUCCAGCUGGCUAAUACCCGGUUGGGAUGACGGUACCCAAAGAAUAAGCACCGGCUAACUUCGUGCCAGCCGCCGCCGUAA